GAUGAAGAACGUAGCGAAAUGCGAUACGUAGUGUGAAUUGCAGAAUUCAGUGAAUCAUCGAAUCUUUGAACGCACAUUGCACCUCUCGGUAUUCCGGGAGGUAUGCCUGUUCGAGCGUCAUUUGUACCCUCAAGCUCUGCUUGGUGUUGGGUGUUUGUUCCGCCUCUGUGUGUGAACUCGCCUCAAAACAAUUGGCAGCCGGCGUACUUGUUUCGGAGCGCAGCACAUUUUGCGAUCCAGAUCAACGUACAGCGGCAUCCAAGAAGCCUUAUUUAACGCUCGUGACCUCGGAUCAGGUAGGGAUACCCGCUGAACUUAAGCAUAUCAAUAAGCGGAGGA
rnacentral:misc_RNA from 1 species